UUCUAAUGUUUCACCAUGUUACAAGAUGUUCAUGUUGAGUGUGCUUAUUAUUACAGUCGUAACAUAUCGACAGCUAAAACUUAUAUUGACAAAGUAGAUAAUCGCUUCGGCAUGCAAAUACUGAGUGAGGCCUGCAACUUAUACGGAGAUGUUUAGUCAUAAAAUUCGUAUGAGCUCAGAGAUACUGUAGCCGUGAAAUGAGAAAAGGUCACCACCAGAGGCGAGCAUCGACGCUAUGCAGCCUGCCGAGGAUCACAGCCAUGACAGUAGGGCAAGCCUUGACUCAUGUUGCCCGGUCAGCUGGCCAAGCAGUACUGGGGACCACCAGGCUGAGCUGUGCCCUGCCUCACCAGAGCCCCAGUCCACCCGGGCAUCUGUAUGGCUUGGCUGGCUGUUGCUCACGUCAUGCACCUGACAGGCACCACACUGUUGCAAGCACAGAACAAAAUCUCUGCAGCAAGCAGUUUUUUACUUUGCAUAGUAUUUAUCAACACAGUACUUAACGUCUGGUGUUAUAUUAAAAUAGCUAAUGGCUGUAACAUCAAGAACAAGAUGGAUACUUAAAUCUCCACUGUUGCUUGUAAUUGUUAAAUCAACUUAUCGUUAUGUGCAUGUAAAAAACUCUGUACCUUAAGACUGUUGACAGACACUGACGUUAGAGGAUUAUAUCAUGGCAGAACUGUUCUCACAUUGCACACUCUUUCCACAUUCUGAAGGCGUCGAUGGUGAAGCUUUGUGCUCUGUAUGACAUUUUGCAAACGUGGAAGACAAAUAUGUUAUAUCGCAUAGCUGUUAAUAAAUUUGGUGCAUUGUUCACAUAAAUUUAUGUCUUUUCACUGUUAUAUGAUCAAAACAUAGAGGACAUCAGUACUGAUAAAUUAUUUAACUAGCAUAGCUAAUUAACAUUGCAUUUACUUUGUAGUGCAGCACAUCUAGAAUAUGCUGUGACAAACUUCCUCUCUCUCAAUUAUCUAAGAGUUGCUUUAGAUGAAACACCUGUGGUACUAGAAAUAAUGCAAGCAAAUGCAUUGACUUCGCUUAAGAGAUUUUGAGUGCUUGCUUUCAGUAGUGCUGCUAGCCUCAAAUCAUUGUCAAGAGGGCCGAUGAGCAGACAGAGGUUUAGAGCCCUCUCUUCCUCCUUAAAGACGAAAGAAUCAGCUAUGAUCAACAACAUGAGGGAGCAGAAGGCAACGGAAACCAUUACAUUAAAGACGCGUAACCAUCUUAUUUAAAUACAAUCUCUUAUCCCGUUAUGGGUGUUUAAACUAUUUAAUGGAAAUAUAAAUUUCAUUUAUAAAUGUGUCAUUUUAUGUGUAUGAGAUUGCUUACCUUACAGUCCACCACUUUCUCAGCACAGUGUUCCUGUAGCUGGUACACCCAUGGUACAAGCAACUGCAGUGUCGAAUCACUGUCAGCUUCCAUAAUCUUGGUAAUACUUUGAGAAAAUAAAUUAAUGUGUCAGCUAACUGAUAAUCCCAGUUCCCAAAUACGCUAUUUUUCCAAAUUCAGCAAUUUGUUCAUGCUGCAUAAGUACGGAUUUUAGCAUGACACACAAAGUCUUCAAGUGAGUCUCAGUGUGCUACUUCAUGGUAAACUACAACCGUGAGUCUUUCACAUGGCCACUCCUUUUUAAGUAAUUUACAGCAUGUUUCACUGAUUGGUACUAUGGCUGAACAUUACGACAAUAUUUCUGCAACCAUUUUUCCUCAAGGGUGUAGGGUAGAACAAUGCUGAGGGAGAAGUUGUCGUAUGGGAGAUGAUGAAAAUUCUCUAGGGACUUUUUCACAUUUUCCCUCCUUAUCAGUAAUAAACAUAACUUUCAAGAGAUGGCUUGUAAAUAUCCCUAACUUUUAGUUUCAUCCCAUACAUUUGUAGCACUUGUCUCCAACAAACAGGAGCUAUGCAAGAAACAGGACCCAAUUUUUGCACUUCAACCCUAAUGAUAUUGAAUGCAUAAUAAGAGUAAAAUAAUGCCUUUUAAUGUACUUGUAUGUCCAUGUGUCAGUUGUACAUGCGCACACGUCAUCCUCCAUAUCCUGCAACACUUGUGGGGACUACAACCACAAGGUAUUCAUCUGCUGUUUCUUUUUCCUUGUGAGAAAUUGUUGGAUGGUGAAGAAGCACAUCCCUUGCAAUUGCAGCAGAGUACUGUGCUUCUAUGUCUGGCACUGUCUGUGAAUGAUCUAGAAAGCAUUCUCCAGCCCCUUUGAUGAAGGACCACAGAUCUCUUGUCCACAUUGUUACACACUGCUCCUGGACAGUAGAUUUUGCUGAUGCUGGAUGGAAGGUCGUCACUACUAUUGAUCUGACUAUAAGAGAAGCUUUGCAGUUAUUCAAGUGUUGCAACAGGCUCCACGAGCUUUCCUGCACAUGACAGCAAGUUCUAGUUCUUUUCAGUAUGGUGAAGGAGUAGACCACGCACCACAUCGAAAACUUAUAAAAUUGUACUGCAAAACACCUUGUUCGAGGGAAAUCAUCCAGGAACAUUACAUGAAGAAGAAUAUAAAAAGUAAGGGUGUACGAAGAGAUUGUUGAAACAUUUCUAGGUGAUGUAAAGCUCUGGACCAUAGUGUAAUGAAAAUUUAAUUACAAAAUUUGAGAUCAAGUUUCAUAAAAGAGGCUUUAGAAAGUAGAGGAAAAAAGAAAGGAUGAAUUGUAUAAACCAAUAAAAAGUCACUUGUACUAUGUUCAUUACUGUAUUACACAUUACAGUGUUUUUCUUUACAAAGACACAAGAAUAGCCUGUUCUUAGUAUAUCAAACCUUCUCAAUUCUUGGAGGAGUGCACACCUGCUCAUGUGUGGUUCAUCAUUCCCGCCUCCCCUCCGCUGUCUGUUUCAUUGUUGCACUGACCUCUGUUGACACCUGGACUCGGCCAGGUACCCGAACAAGUUGCAAGCACUGUUCCCAGUGCAGCUGAGCUUGACUGCCCACGAUGCAGGCAGCAGAACAGAGCAGGCGGGCUAGGGCGGGCAAAUGUGGUGCGAUGCACAGCUUUGGUCACCACAAGGCAUGCACUGUAUCUCAUUUUUUGUGAUGUAAUCAUGGCUUGGUGGCUCAAUGGUACUGUGCCAGGUCUCGGGUUCGAUUCCCAUCAAUCCUAGGAUUUUUAUCUGACACUGAUCAAUUCUUUGACAUUCUACAGCAUUUGUUGAUGUGAAAAAAGCUGAAUUGGACCAUAGUUUGGAAUUCUUGUUACCCUGUAGGUCACUCAUAAGGUGUUUGGGUAAGUCAGUUCAAAUGUCAGAGGAAUGUGAUGGCGUGCCACCUCCAGUAGGACCAUGGUGAGUGAAGAACAUGGUGUACAAAACAAACUUUGGAUUGAUGGCUCCUGUACUGCUUUAUCAUCUACAGUAUAAAAUUCUUGGUGCGUUAAGUUGUCUUUCAGAAACUUGAAAUUGUCUUUUCAUGCAUAAAGUCCUGUACACUUUAGUGUAUACAUUAUUUAGCUGUUCAUUUUUAAAACAGAGUUUUUGUAUUCAA